UAGAUAUGAUUAGUGGCGGACGGGUGAGUAACAUUUAGGAAUCUGCCUAGUAGUGGGGGAUAGCUCGGGGAAACUCGAAUUAAUACCGCAUACGACCUACGGGUGAAAGGGGGCGCAAGCUCUUGCUAUUAGAUGAGCCUAAAUCAGAUUAGCUAGUUGGUGGGGUAAAGGCCCACCAAGGCGACGAUCUGUAACUGGUCUGAGAGGAUGAUCAGUCACACCGGAACUGAGACACGGUCCGGACUCCUACGGGAGGCAGCAGUGGGGAAUAUUGGACAAUGGGGGCAACCCUGAUCCAGCCAUGCCGCGUGUGUGAAGAAGGCCUUUUGGUUGUAAAGCACUUUAAGCAGGGAGGAGAGGCUAAUGGUUAAUACCCAUUAGAUUAGACGUUACCUGCAGAAUAAGCACCGGCUAACUCUGUGCCAGCAGCCGCGGUAAUACAGAGGGUGCGAGCGUUAAUCGGAAUUACUGGGCGUAAAGCGAGUGUAGGUGGCUCAUUAAGUCACAUGUGAAAUCCCCGGGCUUAACCUGGGAACUGCAUGUGAUACUGGUGGUGCUAGAAUAUGUGAGAGGGAAGUAGAAUUCCAGGUGUAGCGGUGAAAUGCGUAGAGAUCUGGAGGAAUACCGAUGGCGAAGGCAGCUUCCUGGCAUAAUAUUGACACUGAGAUUCGAAAGCGUGGGUAGCAAACAGGAUUAGAUACCCUGGUAGUCCACGCCGUAAACGAUGUCUACUAGCCGUUGGGGUCCUUGAGACUUUAGUGGCGCAGUUAACGCGAUAAGUAGACCGCCUGGGGAGUACGGCCGCAAGGUUAAAACUCAAAUGAAUUGACGGGGGCCCGCACAAGCGGUGGAGCAUGUGGUUUAAUUCGAUGCAACGCGAAGAACCUUACCUGGUCUUGACAUAGUGAGAAUCCUGCAGAGAUGCGGGAGUGCCUUCGGGAAUUCACAUACAGGUGCUGCAUGGCUGUCGUCAGCUCGUGUCGUGAGAUGUUGGGUUAAGUCCCGCAACGAGCGCAACCCUUUUCCUUAUUUGCCAGCGGGUUAAGCCGGGAACUUUAAGGAUACUGCCAGUGACAAACUGGAGGAAGGCGGGGACGACGUCAAGUCAUCAUGGCCCUUACGACCAGGGCUACACACGUGCUACAAUGGUAGGUACAGAGGGUUGCUACACAGCGAUGUGAUGCUAAUCUCAAAAAGCCUAUCGUAGUCCGGAUUGGAGUCUGCAACUCGACUCCAUGAAGUCGGAAUCGCUAGUAAUCGCAGAUCAGAAUGCUGCGGUGAAUACGUUCCCGGGCCUUGUACACACCGCCCGUCACACCAUGGGAGUCUAUUGCUCCAGAAGUA
rnacentral:rRNA from 1 species